rnacentral:lncRNA from 1 species
AAUCUGAAUCCAUGACCACUCGGAGUUCUGUCUGAACCAGGGCCACACCUCUGAUCCUGCCCAAACCUGUGGUUCUAGAAAUAGGAAAGAAGAGGGACAUGACCAUUUUUAAUGUGCCAGUCCCUGUACAGGAAUUCUUUUGCAUUUGUGUAGCAGUAAUUCACUCUGCCCACCAAGUGAAUGGUUCAGGUUCUUCUCCUGGGAACACUUCCCUUCCCUCGUGAAGCUUGGUUCAGCCUUCUGACUUGCUUAGGCAACAAAAUGGGAACAGGUGCAUCUCACUUUGGGGGUAAAGUUGACAGAACUAGUGUGCUAUUUUACACCCUCACCUUCCUUCCUUCCUUCCUUCCUUUCUUUCUUUCUUCUUUCUUCUUUCUUCUUUCUUCUUUCUUCUUUCUCUCUCCUUCCUUCCUUCCUUCCUUCUUUCCUUCCUUUCUUCCUUCCUUUAUUUUUAAAGACCUAUUUAUUUAUUUGAAAGCCAGAGUUACACACAGAGAGAGAAGGAGAGUCAGAGAGACAGAGAGAGAGGUCUUCCAUCUGAUGGUUCACUCCCCAGUUGGCUGCAAUGGCCAGAGCUGUGCCGAUUCGAAGCCAGGAGCCAGGAGCUUCCUCCGGGUCUCCCAUGUGGGUGCAGGAGUCCAAGAACCCAGGUCAUCCUCCACUGCUUUCCCAGGCCAUAGCAGAGAAUCAGAUUGGAAAUGGAGCAGCUGGGACCUGAACCGGUGCCCAUAUGGGAUGCCAGCACUGCAGGCGGUGGCCCCACCCACUAUGCCACAGCACCGGCCCCUACACCCUCAUUUUCAUCCUGUAUGGCAGUGUGCCACAUGGUGUGGUCUCCUUCAACCUGGGACCCAGAAUUAGGAGGAUCUGGAACUGAAUCUCCCCGCUGGUUCCCCAUAAAUGUGUGGCAUCAGCAAGACAUAAACCUCGGGUUUAUGGCACUGAAACUUGAUUUCAUGUGAUACCACAACAUAGCCUGGCCUGACCUGCCUGAUGCCAUUUAUU